UACGAAGGUGGCGAGCGUUGUUCGGAUUCACUGGGCAUAAAGGGCGCGUAGGCGGCGCCGCAAGCAGCGUGUGAAAUCCCGGGGCUCAACCCCGGGGCUGCGCGCUGGACUGCGGUGCUCGAGUGCGGGAGGGGGGUGCGGAACUCUAGGUGGAGCGGUGAAAUGCGUAGAUAUCUAGAGGAACACCGGUGGCGAAAGCGACACCCUGGCCCGCAACUGACGCUGAGGCGCGAAAGCGUGGGUAGCAAAC
rnacentral:rRNA from 1 species